CCUACGGGAGACAGCAGUGGGGAAUAUUGCACAAUGGGGGAAACCCUGAUGCAGCGACGCCGCGUGAGCGAUGAAGUAUUUCGGUAUGUAAAGCUCUAUCAGCAGGGAAGAAAAUGACGGUACCUGACUAAGAAGCCCCGGCUAACUACGUGCCAGCAGCCGCGGUAAUACGUAGGGGGCAAGCGUUAUCCGGAUUUACUGGGUGUAAAGGGAGCGUAGACGGCGAUGCAAGCCAGAUGUGAAAGCCCGGGGCCCAACCCCGGGACUGCAUUGGAAACUGUUGAACUGGAGUACAGGAGAGGUAAGCGGAAUUCCUAGUGUAGCGGUGAAAUGCGUAGUUAUUAGGAGGAACACCAGUGGCGAAGGCGGCUUACUGGACUGUAACUGACGUUGAGGCUCGAAAGCGUGGGGAGCAAACAGGAUUAGAUACCCUUGUAGUC
rnacentral:rRNA from 1 species